CCUGCGCAUGGGCUAGGCUGCGCGCCCACUUGGGCCGCGUGUCCGCCUGGGCCGCGCGUCUCGCACGUUGGCCUCGCCUAGGCGCGCUCCACCGGCCGUCGGCCGUCCUCCGCCACCUCGGCUUACGUGCAAUCUUCAAAAGUCUGUAUCUUCUCCGUCCGAGCUCCGUUUUAGGUGAUCUUGAUCUCAUGGAACUCCGUUUUUCAUCGCAAAUCUCGCUGUGGGCUCAAUGUGGGCUAAAUCUCGAGGCGUCAAAUUCUAAUAAGUGUUAAGUGUGUGUG
rnacentral:lncRNA from 1 species